UGGGUACAAAGUUCUAAAACAAAAUGGUCGGUUAAGACACAAAUAAGAAGCUAAGUAGUAACCAGUUACGAGAGAUGGACCGGUAAAGUUCGUCGGAAAAAUUCGCCGGAGGUUCGGACGGAUUUUGGCACUAUAACCUUACUUGGGCAGCCCUUACAAAGGCUUGGAAGUGGUUGUGGUUGAGCUCGGUUAGUGUAAGAAAGCUUGUAGAUCAAAACCUUGAAUAUAUGAAUAUAUAUUUGAGAGAGAGAAGGUUUUGGUGGAGAAGUAUAUUUGAGAGAGAAUAUAAACUUGUAUUUCUUGAUAACUUCUCAAAAUCUCAGCACUUUC
rnacentral:lncRNA from 1 species